rnacentral:lncRNA from 1 species
UAGGAAGCAGAGCCAGAGGACCAGGAUGGGAAGGCACUGGGCCCGCGGUGUACUCAUCAGAACAACACAAAGAUGCAAUCAGAACAAGCUGUACUUCCCUCCCGACCCUUCGCUCUCCCUCACCCAGAUAUAUCAAGGUGUACAGACUAUAUUUUUGCUGAUUUAUAAUUCAACUGCAUUGUAGUAAUGGAACCCAGUCUACAUAAAGCUGAUAUUUAAAAAUUUGGUUGGACUUCUUUUGUGACCCAGCACAUG